GAAGAAAGCUGGCGGCGUGCUUAACACAUGCAAGUCGAACGGAAAGGCCCUGCUUUUGUGGGGUGCUCGAGUGGCGAACGGGUGAGUAACACGUGAGUAACCUGCCCUUGACUUUGGGAUAACUUCAGGAAACUGGGGCUAAUACCGGAUAGGAGCUCCUGCUGCAUGGUGGGGGUUGGAAAGUUUCGGCGGUUGGGGAUGGACUCGCGGCUUAUCAGCUUGUUGGUGGGGUAGUGGCUUACCAAGGCUUUGACGGGUAGCCGGCCUGAGAGGGUGACCGGCCACAUUGGGACUGAGAUACGGCCCAGACUCCUACGGGAGGCAGCAGUGGGGAAUAUUGCACAAUGGGCGGAAGCCUGAUGCAGCAACGCCGCGUGCGGGAUGACGGCCUUCGGGUUAUAAACCGCUUUCGCCUGUGACGAAGCGUGAGUGACGGUAAUGGGUAAAGAAGCACCGGCUAACUACGUG
rnacentral:rRNA from 1 species